AUCUCCAGUCAGCUCUCCACACAGCAGGGAAGGGGCUUUCCAUACCUUCGAAGGAAGGGCCUGUUGAGCCUGCGUUGCUGAGGGGCUAGACGGGGCCCAUGGCGGAGGGCUGCCUUCAAAACAGCUGGGUGCAGAAAUUAUAGCUUCCUAGUGAUGAUCGGCCCCACUUUGCGUGGCAACACAAUAUGUUCCUAAUGACUGAAUUGUUUAUUUAAUAAAGAAAUCACAACCA
ensembl:lncRNA novel transcript